rnacentral:rRNA from 1 species
UACGAAGGGGGCUAGCGUUGCUCGGAAUCACUGGGCGUAAAGCGCACGUAGGCGGCUUCUAAGUCAGGGGUGAAAUCCUGGAGCUCAACUCCAGAACUGCCUUUGAUACUGGAGAGCUUGAGUCCGGGAGAGGUGAGUGGAACUCCGAGUGUAGAGGUGAAAUUCGUAGAUAUUCGGAAGAACACCAGUGGCGAAGGCGGCUCACUGGCCCGGUACUGACGCUGAGGUGCGAAAGCGUGGGGAGCAACAGG